AGCGCGCGCUAGGCGGUUUUUUAAGUCUGAUGUGAAAGCCCACCCCCUUGAACGCGGGAGGGCCAUUGGAAACUGGAAAACUUGAGGUGCAUAAGAGGAAAGUGGAAUUCCCUGCGUAGCGGUGAAAUGCGCAUAGAUAUGGAGGAACACCAGUGGCGAAGGCGACUUUCUGGUCUGUAACUGACGCUGAUGGGCGAAAGCGUGGGGAUCAAACAGGAUUAUAUACCCUGGUAGU
rnacentral:rRNA from 1 species